rnacentral:rRNA from 1 species
AGAAGAGACAUGCGCGCAUAUCAAUAAGCGGAGGAAAAGAAACUAACAAGGAUUCCCCUAGUAACGGCGAGUGAAGCGGGAAGAGCUCAAAUUUGAAAUCUUAAAGGGUUUCCCUUUACGAAUUGUAGUUUAAAGAAGUGUUUUCUGUUGAGGUUUUGGUAAAAGUUCUUUGGAAUAGGACAUCAUAGAGGGUGAGAAUCCCGUAUUUGACCUUUACUUUCAACUUUGUGAUACACUUUCAAAGAGUCGGAUUGUUUGGGAAUGCAGUCCAAAAUGGGUGGUAAAUUUCAUCUAAAGCUAAAUAUUGGCGAGAGACCGAUAGCGAACAAGUACCGUGAGGGAAAGAUGAAAAGAACUUUGAAAAGAGAGUUAAACAGUACGUGAAAUUGUCAAAAGGGAAGCGUUUGACACCAGUGUUGUUUUUUCUGAAAAUCAAUUAAAGAACUGUUUAUGCUAAGCUGUUUAGACUUUAUCAGCUAUCUGUUUAGUUUUGAGCUUUUCUUUAAUGCACUUUUCAGUUAACAAGUCAACAUCAAUUUCUUUUGCUGUAAAAAAGCUUGAGGAAGGUGGCUUGAGAUUCGUCUUAAGUGUUUAUAGCCUCUUGCCUAUGCAGUCGGAGAGAUUGAGGUCUGCAGCGUAGAUCCUUCGGGGCUAAAUGCAUUUGUGCUAAGUUAUAGCAUUUUAUAGACAACUUGUUGACUAUGAUUUGUCUUGUAGCUUACUCGCUUAUGUUAUUUUACCUACGCUUAGGAUGUUGAGCGCAUGUCUCUCUCU